CAGAUUCUAUUUAGAUGUCACGAAUUUCUAGUGCAUGCAUUUUAUAUUUGUUGACUGAAACCAGAAAUGAAACAGGUUGAUCUAACAUUGUCCAUAGUAAAGUAAAAUGCAAAAAAGAAAGAAACCACAGUAACAAAGGAUCAUUUUUUAAAGAUUUCGGUACACUAGAAAUUUUAUAAAAUUGUUAGAAUUGGUGCAGAAAUUAUUUUUGAAAUAAAACAUCUGUUCUGGCUCUCCAGAAGUUGAUCUUUUGUAAUUUCUAUUAUGAUGAAACUUUUAAUAGCUCCAGUUAGCUCCUGCAAUCCCUUCAAGUAGGACCAAAAAAAAAAAUCUAGAACUGUUCAUCUUAUCGAAUGUGUGUUUUACUGUUAAAAAAUGGAUUACAGUUAGUGUACAAUUAGUGCCUAGUGGUUACGAUUAGUGGCUGAGCUACUGCAAUGUAUUUUAAGAUGCUUAUUUUCACCUUGCACUUCUUGAAAUGCUUAUAUCUACAGUAAAGUUAUAACUUGACAUAAAAACAUUGUUGCUUUAUGUUUGCAGAAAAUGGCAAAAAGAAUGGCACAACCACUGUCUUCAUUAUCUUAAGAGGAAAAAAAAAAUCUUAGAAAGUCUAUUGGGGUUGCUGGAUCUAACCUGAAUUGGGCUUGCGUUACAUUGAAGAAAAGCUAAGUUGAGAAAAGACCAUGGUGAUGAUAAGUUUCUCUUGCACUAUCCCAUUAGCUACUAAUUUAUAAAAAAUUCUUUGAAAGCAUAUAUUAUAGCUAAUUAUCAUGGAAAUGCAAAGAGUACCAUAGCCAUUAAAUGUGUAAGGGCAGAGUAGUAUUAUGUGGCCUAGGUGGAUGGCGUUUUAUAUUGUUCAAUAAACAUUAGCUGAG